UUCCAGGGAACCCCAAAUAAAACCUCACUU
rnacentral:piRNA from 1 species